rnacentral:lncRNA from 1 species
GGCAACCCGUGGCGCCUUAGCUUGGUUCUUUAUUUCUCCCGCGACGUGGCGCAGUUAUCAUUCUUAAAUCUACGGGACUCAAGCCUGGAGAGCCGGCUUCGUCCGUUGUUCUCGGAGCGCGGACUGCACUCUUCGGCCGCAGCCGGGCGUGCCGCGGAGCCUCCCAAGGUUUCCACCUGUGGGCUUUGCGGGAUCCCGGAGAGCUGGCUGUCUAGACCGAGCUGGGAUGAUGUCUAAAUUUUCCCCGGAGUGUAUUUCAGUGUUGGUGAAACAGCUCAAACCUCUAUUUAAAAAGUCAGGUCACAUCUCGAAGAGAUUGAUAAUUCAUGUUUUAGAAAGAAAAAGCUGGAAUGUGAUUUCCCACAUGAAUAUUCCAUUGGCCUAAACCCAGUGGAGAUGGCUUGGAGAAAUUGCAGUUGUCCUCAAGGUUGGACUUGAGAUGGGGCAUCCAAAUGACAGAAAGCGUAUGAUUUCCUCCAUUGCAACAAUCAUAAGGAAGACGGAACAAAAAGUUUGAUUCCGUAAGUAAAAUUUACAUCCUUUUAAUGUAACAACAAGAGUAAAGGUAAGGAGAAUGGAAAAGAGGAAUUCUUUGAUUAUGGUUAUAAAUAUUGAAUGAGCAAGGAGUGGGCAGUGUGGAUAAUCUUAAAUGUUACUCCUAUUAUUCGAGGAAGGUGGGAAAGGGAGAAAGAUGCAAACAUUAAAAAAAGAAGAAAAAAGAAACUACAGAAUUAAUUGAAUCAUUUUAGAAACUGGAUU